rnacentral:rRNA from 1 species
UACAGAGGGUGCAAGCGUUACUCGGAAUUACUGGGCGUAAAGCGUGCGUAGACGGUUGCGUAAGUCAGAUGUGAAAGCCCCGGGCUCAACCUGGGAAUUGCAUUUGAGACUGCGUAGCUAGGGUGCGGAAGAGGGAAGCGGAAUUUCCGGUGUAGCGGUGAAAUGCGUAGAUAUCGGAAGGAACACCAGUGGCGAAGGCGGCUCACUGGCCCGAUACUGACGCUGAGGUGCGAAAGCGUGGGGAGCAAACAGG